rnacentral:rRNA from 1 species
UACGUAGGGUGCGAGCGUUGUCCGGAAUUAUUGGGCGUAAAGAGCUUGUAGGCGGUUUGUCGCGUCUGCUGUGAAAAUCCGGGGCUCAACCCCGGACUUGCAGUGGGUACGGGCAGGCUAGAGUGUGGUAGGGGAGACUGGAAUUCCUGGUGUAGCGGUGGAAUGCGCAGAUAUCAGGAGGAACACCGAUGGCGAAGGCAGGGUCUCUGGGCCACUACUGACGCUGAGAAGCGAAAGCAUGGGGAGCGAACAGG